AGAAAAUGAAGGCUCCUGUCCGAGCGACGCGCAGGACUCGUCCACAAACAAAGAAGAGGACUCGGGCCCACGCGUCUCUCGUCUACAGAGCUCACAAAGAGGUCAGAGGGCAACAGCGGCAACUCGUCCGUCCAGUCGGGACGAGGAGUCCAGACUUCCUGGCCACUCGGACCACUUUUCCCGGGCCCGUCCUGCUCAGGCUGGUGAGCUCCGAGGCUUCCCGGCUGUCGAGGAGCAACAGGCUGGGGGUCGUCUCCCUGCAGGAGGUCAAUGCCGCCAUCGCACUCGUGCAGCGGAGGAUUGGCACGAGAGCCGCAGCAUGAAGAGUUGGGACUUGAGCUGAGCAAAAUGUUACACAAAUUUAAUCUUUUAUUAAAGAGUUCUUAAUUUUUUAA